rnacentral:rRNA from 1 species
AACGAACGCUGGCGGCGUGCUUAACACAUGCAAGUCGAGCGGUAAGGCUCCUUCGGGAGUACACGAGCGGCGAACGGGUGAGUAACACGUGAGCAAUCUGCCCUUCACUUUGGGAUAACCACCGGAAACGGUGGCUAAUACCGAAUACGACCACUUCAGGCAUCUGAUGGUGGUGGAAAGUUCCGGCGGUGAAGGAUGAGCUCGCGGCCUAUCAGCUUGUUGGUGAGGUAAUGGCUCACCAAGGCUUCGACGGGUAGCCGGCCUGAGAGGGUGACCGGCCACACUGGGACUGAGACACGGCCCAGACUCCUACGGGAGGCAGCAGUGGGGAAUAUUGGACAAUGGGCGAAAGCCUGAUCCAGCAACGCCGCGUGAGGGAUGACGGCCUUCGGGUUGUAAACCUCUUUCAGCGGGGACGAAGCGAAAGUGACGGUACCCGCAGAAGAAGGACCGGCCAACUACGCGCCAGCAGCCGCCGUAAGAC